rnacentral:misc_RNA from 1 species
UGGUUCUGGCAUCGAUGAAGAACGCAGCGAAAUGCGAUAAGUAAUGUGAAUUGCAGAAUUCAGUGAAUCAUCGAAUCUUUGAACGCAUAUUGCGCCCCUUGGUAUUCCGAGGGGCAUGCCUGUUCGAGCGUCAUAAUAACUAUCAAGCUUAGCUUGGUAUUGGGUGCUACGUCAAGUGCACCUUAAAAUCAGUGGCGGUAUUAUCAAGUUCCUAAGCGUAGUAAAUUUUCUCGCUACAGGUGCUAGGUUAAAUACCUGCCAGGCAAUUUACUUCUACAGGUUUGACCUCGGAUCAGGUAGGGAUACCCGCUGA